rnacentral:rRNA from 1 species
GCACUCUUGAGAGCGGCGGACGGGUGAGUAAUGCCUAGGAAUCUGCCUGGUAGUGGGGGAUAACGCUCGGAAACGGACGCUAAUACCGCAUACGUCCUACGGGAGAAAGCAGGGGACCUUCGGGCCUUGCGCUAUCAGAUGAGCCUAGGUCGGAUUAGCUAGUUGGUGAGGUAAUGGCUCACCAAGGCGACGAUCCGUAACUGGUCUGAGAGGAUGAUCAGUCACACUGGAACUGAGACACGGUCCAGACUCCUACGGGAGGCAGCAGUGGGGAAUAUUGGACAAUGGGCGAAAGCCUGAUCCAGCCAUGCCGCGUGUGUGAAGAAGGUCUUCGGAUUGUAAAGCACUUUAAGUUGGGAGGAAGGGUUGUAGAUUAAUACUCUGCAAUUUUGACGUUACCGACAGAAUAAGCACCGGCUAACUCUGUGCCAGCAGCCGCGGUAAUACAGAGGGUGCAAGCGUUAAUCGGAAUUACUGGGCGUAAAGCGCGCGUAGGUGGUUCGUUAAGUUGGAUGUGAAAGCCCCGGGCUCAACCUGGGAACUGCAUUCAAAACUGUCGAGCUAGAGUAUGGUAGAGGGGGAAUA